rnacentral:rRNA from 1 species
AACGAACGCUGGCGGCAUGCCUAACACAUGCAAGUCGAACGAGACCUUCGGGUCUAGUGGCGCACGGGUGCGUAACGCGUGGGAACCUGCCCUUAGGUUCGGAAUAACUCCCCGAAAGGGGUGCUAAUACCGGAUAAUGUCUUCGGACCAAAGAUUUAUCGCCUCUGGUUGGGCCCGCGUUGGAUUAGCUCGUUGGUAGGGUAAAAGCCUACCAAGGCGACGAUCCAUAGCUGGUCUGAGAGGAUGAUCAGCCACACUGGGACUGAGACACGGCCCAGACUCCUACGAGGGGCAGCAGUGGGGAAUAUUGGACAAUGGGCGAAAGCCUGAUCCAGCAGUGCCGCGUGAGUGGUGAAGGCGUUAGGGUUGUAAAGCUCUUUUACCCGCAAUGAUAAUGACAAUACCGGGAGAAUAAGCUCCGGCUAACUCCG